rnacentral:lncRNA from 1 species
GGAUCUGACGCUAUCUCCAGGUACAGUGUUGGAAUGGUGUUGGAGGACAGCCAGCUGGUGUGUGUGUGUGUGUGUGUGUGUGUGUGUGUGUGUAGGUGUCUCGGGGCUGAGCGCUCACGCUGUGGGAUCUGACGCUAUCUCCAGGUACAGUGUUGGAAUGGUGUUGGAGGACAGCCAGCUGGUGUGUGUGUGUGUGUAGGUGUCUCGGGGCUGGCGCUCACGCUGUGGGAUCUGACGCUAUCUCCAGGUACUGUGUUGGAAUGGUGUUGGAGGACACCCAGCUGGGGUGUGUGUGUGUGUGUGUGUGUGUGUAGGUGUCUCGGGGCUGAGCGCUCACGCUGUGGGAUCUGACGCUAUCUCCAGGUACAAUGUUGGAAUGGUGUUGGACACCCAGCUGGGGUGUGUGUGUGUGUGUAGGUGUCUCGGGGCUGAGUGCUCACGCUGUGGGAUCUGACGCUGUCUCCAGGUACAGUGUUGGAAUGGUAUUGGACACCCAGCUGGUGUGUGUGUCUGGUGUGUGUGUGUGUGUGUGUGUGUGUAGUUGUCUCGGGGCUGAGCGCUCACGCUGUGGGAUCUGACGCUGUCUCCAGGUACAGUGUUGGAAUGGUGUUGGACACCCAGCUGGGGGGUGUGUGUGUGUGUAGGUGUCUCGGGGCUGAGCGCUCACGCUGUGGGAUCUGACGCUGUCUCCAGGUACAGUGUUGGAAUGGUGUUGGACACCCAGCU